AUCAUGGACUGCAGGACAACACUGCUGCUGAUAGCUUUCUGCUGGACAGGUGUAGCUGGUCAGACUCUGACAGAAUCUGAACCAGUGGUUAAAAGACCUGGAGAAUCCCACACCCUGACCUGUACAGCCUCUGGAUUCACCCUUGGCAGCUAUGCGAUGGCCUGGAUCAGACAAGCUCCUGGAAAAGGACUGGAGUGGAUCGCCUAUAUAGGCACCUACAGUAUUCCAAUCUCCUACUCCAAUUCAGUUCAGGGAAGAUUCACCAUCUCCAGAGAUGACUCAAACAGUAAACUCUAUCUGAAGAUGAACCAACUAAAAACUGAGGACACAGCUGUGUAUUACUGUGCUCGGAGGCACAGUGACAGAAAGAAGCAGGAGACUCUGACUGAAUCUGAACCAGUGGUGAAACGACAUGGAGAAUCCCACACUCUGACCUGUACAUAUGCAGGAAUAUCAGAUGAUGAUGCUCGUAUCAGCUGGAUCAGACAAGCUGAAGGAAAAGGACUGGAGUGGGUUUCCCAUAUUUCUGCUCCCAGUGGAACCAAUAAAUAUUAUUCCACAUCUGUCCAGAAUCGCUUCACCAUCUCCAGAGACAACAGCAAGGAUCAAGUGUAUCUGCACAUGAGCAGCUUGAAGACCGAAGACUCUGCAGUGUAUUAUUGUGCUCGAGAAGCACAGUGA